rnacentral:rRNA from 1 species
GACGAACGCUGGCGGCGUGCUUAACACAUGCAAGUCGAACGGAAAGGCCCUGCUUUUGUGGGGUGCUCGAGUGGCGAACGGGUGAGUAACACGUGAGUAACCUGCCCUUGACUUUGGGAUAACUUCAGGAAACUGGGGCUAAUACCGGAUAGGAGCUCCUGCUGCAUGGUGGGGGUUGGAAAGUUUCGGCGGUUGGGGGUGGACUCGCGGCUUAUCAGCUUGUUGGUGGGGUAGUGGCUUACCAAGGCUUUGACGGGUAGCCGGCCUGAGAGGGUGACCGGCCACAUUGGGACUGAGAUACUGCCCAGACUCCUACGGGAGGCAGCAGUGGGGAAUAUUGCACAAUGGGCGGAAGCCUGAUGCAGCAACGCCGCGUGCGGGAUGACGGCCUUCGGGUUGUAAACCGCUUUCGCCUGUGACGAAGCGUGAGUGACGGUAAUGGGUAAAGAAGCACCGGCUAACUACGUG